CACAAAAGCUAGGGGAGUUUCGACUGAGAGCGGUAUGUACCGCGACCCUUCGUACCUGAUCCGGGUAAUGCCGGCGUAGGGAAGCGCGUCGAUUGAUGU
rnacentral:ncRNA from 2 species